GGGCACUUAUUUAUUACAAGAAUAUGAAUAAAAUUUGUCCAUCAAAAUUAAGAGAAAACUAGAAUUUAACCAUGACGAGAAAAGUAAGUAUCUAUUAUAUAUAAAAAAUUAAUUAUGGAAAAUAAUUUAUACUCACAUUUUAACAAGAAAAACUUUUAUGAAUAGCUAGUCCGAGAGGAUCAUUAGCCACAAUGGGACUGAGAUACGACACAAACUCCUAUGGGAGGAAGCAGUGGGCAAUUUUCUACAAUGGGUGAAAGCUUAACGGAGAAAUGCCACGUGGAGGUAGAAGGCCUAUGGAUCAUGAACUGCUUUUCUCAAAGAAGAAACAAUGACAGUAUCUAAGGAAUAAGCAUCGACUAACUCUAUGCUAGCAGUUGCGGUAAGAUAGAGGAUACA
rfam:Lupinus angustifolius cultivar Tanjil chromosome LG13, whole genome shotgun sequence.